GCCCUCGUGGUGCACAUGGUUAAUACACUUGGUUGUUAACCAAAAGGUUGGAGGUUUGAAUCCACCCAGAGGCA
rnacentral:tRNA from 1 species